rnacentral:tmRNA from 1 species
AGACGGACCCUAAGCAUGUAGAGCCGAUUGCGGCGAACCCACGGACGCGGGUUCGACUCCCGCCGCCUCCACCA